rnacentral:rRNA from 1 species
GCCAGAGCCAUAUCACCCUGCAGCACUCACCUGGUUUUAACUGAAGAUAAACAGCUUUGAGCCUGGUCAGUACCUGGAUGGGAAACCUCCUGGGGAAAACUAAGGUCGUUGCUGGAA